AAACGAGAAAUUAUCUUUGUGAUAUUUGUGCAAAGAGUUUUAAAACCUUGUCUUAUUUCAUGAGCCAUCAGCAAAGACACUCGAAAAGGUUUAAGUGUGCUCAUUGCGGUUACACGACGGCCAAGAAUUGUCUAUUAAAAUUCCAUAUGGACGUGUGCGAAAAAAAGGCAUUUUCCGGCACCAAUUCGAUCUGUAAAAUUUGCCAGGAGGAGUUUCCGACCAGAGACGAAAUGAAGUUGCACAGGAAAGUGCACGGUACAACAUGUCCCGUCUGUCAAAAGACGUUUAACCGGAGAGUUUACCUGGAAAAACACGUGGCUCUACAUUCGGAUUUUUUGCGAUACCAGUGCGAUCUGUGCGGCAAACGAUACAGAUAUGUAAGAAUACAGUGAUAAUAAGAGCUUCUUAUGAAGACAAGGAACGAGAAUACAGCAAGAAAAAUGGGAAGAAAUAAGAUUUUCCUUUAGUAGGAUGUGGACUUGUAUAGAAUCUCAUAAGAAAACAUCUUCGAUUGUACCCUGCUUUUCAAUGAAAAUGUGGGACAAGAAAGAGUAAAACGGGAUCAACAAGAUUCGAAUCCAGUUGAAAAAACGAAUCCGCAAGAUGGUUUUUGCUUAUAAUCGUUGCCUUCCAAUCAUUUCUUCAAGUACCUCUUCAGAAAAUUAUACUCUCGAACAUACAUACAUACUCUAUGCUGUACGUCCCAAGCUAACCAAACCUGCUUUUUUCUUUGAUAUAAAGAUAAUUUGAAAUUACUCUUUUGGAAAUGCAUUAUUGUUAGGAAGAUAUGAUUGCAUUGUAUAAGAAAUAUUUGCAAGUUAUUGUAAAUAUGAACAUCCCGUAUACAUCAGAAAGAAAAUUCUGUAGAAGAAUCAACGAGCAAUCCAUGCUGUUUGUGCUGUAUAUGUCUAAAAAUAUAUUUAUAAUAAAUUGUAUUUAUAAACUAUUCUUUUUCUAAUAAACCUUAAUAAAUUU